rnacentral:rRNA from 1 species
ACAGAAGGGAGCUUGCUCCCGGAUGUUAGCGGCGGACGGGUGAGUAACACGUGGGUAACCUGCCUGUAAGACUGGGAUAACUCCGGGAAACCGGAGCUAAUACCGGAUAGUUCCUUGAACCGCAUGGUUCAAGGAUGAAAGACGGUUUCGGCUGUCACUUACAGAUGGACCCGCGGCGCAUUAGCUAGUUGGUGGGGUAAUGGCUCACCAAGGCGACGAUGCGUAGCCGACCUGAGAGGGUGAUCGGCCACACUGGGACUGAGACACGGCCCAGACUCCUACGGGAGGCAGCAGUAGGGAAUCUUCCGCAAUGGACGAAAGUCUGACGGAGCAACGCCGCGUGAGUGAUGAAGGUUUUCGGAUCGUAAAGCUCUGUUGUUAGGGAAGAACAAGUGCGAGAGUAACUGCUCGCACCUUGACGGUACCUAACCAGAAAGCCACGGCUAACUACGUGCCAGCAGCCGCGGUAAUACGUAGGUGGCAAGCGUUGUCCGGAAUUAUUGGGCGUAAAGGGCUCGCAGGCGGUUUCUUAAGUCUGAUGUGAAAGCCCCCGGCUCAACCGGGGAGGGUCAUUGGAAACUGGGAAACUUGAGUGCAGAA